CGUCCUCUUUCGCGGAAAUCACGUGACUUGGACUGUUCGCUACGAGUCCGUUCUUAGAAUACUGAUGAAUCACGGUUCUCAUUCAGUUUAGAUGCGGUCAGAAACGACAUAUAAUUAUGAGGAACCUUUCCUUCAUUUGUUGGAUUUUAUUACUCCUGGACGUUUCUCCAUCUGGCCAUGUCAAAACCAAUGAUGAACACAACAUGGCAAGGAUAGAGCAAUAUUCUGGAAUGAAUGUGUUUGUUGCUGUGGCAGAUGGAGUGAAGACGGUGGUCGUGAUGGAGGGAGAUUCUGUCGUUUUAGACACUAACAUUACUGUAAUAAAGCGAGAUGAUACCAUACUGUGGAUGUUUGGAGAUGAUAACUCUAUUAUAGCUAAAAUGAACGAAGCGGCUGCAAUUUUCUCUGCCAAUGAUAAUGAGAGAUUCAGAGACCGACUGGAGCUGGUCAGACAGACUGGAUCUCUGAUCAUCAAAAACAUCAGAACUGAACACACUGGACUUUAUCAACUAAAGAUCAAGAGCACAACUGAGAUCUCGAAGAAAUUCAGUGUUACUGUCCGUGAUGAUGUGCAGUCAGUGUCACUGAUGGAGGGAGAUUCGGUCACUCUAAACACUGGUGUUAUUAAAAUACAAGGAGGUGAUCAGAUUGUGUGGAAGUUUGGAGGCCAAGGCACUCUCAUUGCUCACUUAACCAUUUAACUGUCGCCCUCACUAGUUGAGCUCAAACAUAAACCUGGCCUACACAAACUAAAACCGUCACAGUUCAUGAACCCUCUGGACUACAGACAUAACUGAGGGCUCUUUAGAAAGAUACUAGUUAAGAGUUCGUUGCUCAAGUAUCCGAAAUUAUUAUUGCAGUGUAGACAUAAAUUAAGAGAAGUUUAAAUAUUUUGACAAGUAAUAAUUAAAUUAUUUCCAUGAAAGGGAUUUAGGAGUAAAUAAAUGGAAAUGUGUCGGAGCAACUUUAAAAGCAAUGAAGCCAAAGCCACAAUACUGACCACGUUAUAUAUCAAAUUAGAAGACGGAGCCACUGAAAAUUAGGUUCAUCUGAGCUUUUCUUCUUGAAGAAUGCUACUUUUAAAAAGAGCACUUAAUACAAGUGUUUUAAGAAUAGCUGUAACUCACAUUCAAAUCAGGCUCCAAUUCUGAAAAGGAACACCCACUUUUUACCAUCUAAUCCAUUCUGAUGUAUAAAAUCAGGCUGGGUCCCAUUGGUUCCUCAUUGGAUGUACUAUUUCACUUAGCAAUGCACCAUAUUGGAUAAAAAUCAGUUGCAAUAAAAUGGGUUGCAAAUUUAGUUUCACAUAGACUUUACGAAUUAAAAGUGAUGUGUUCUCAGUGUUAAAUUGUCUUUUUUUUAUCUCCCAGUUUAAUAGGCAGGGUCAUGUCUAAGUGAGACGUUUGUAGAUAUUACUGAAAAAGGAAUAUCUGGAAAAGAAAAUGACAUUGCGCUGUUUUCAAAACCUGUUUGAGCAUCACAAUCAGCUUGACAGAGCAACAUUGACUUAGCCAUUGGAGUGAGGUUAGUGCAGGACUUAAUGUUUAAGUAACCAAUGGAAGAUGAGGGGGGUGCUUGAGAAAACCUGUUCGAAUACAGUUAGUAGAAUUUACUUUUUUUUUAUGAUGCCAGUGGCCUAAUAAAAGGUAAAUUACUGAACAAGUAACAUUUCAGUUAACAUUCAGUAAGACUAAUUAAGACUAAUAUUCUCAAUGAGAAAUUCUAUUCUUAAAAAUCUACAUAUGGCUAACUGAAGAAUCUAAACAAUCCACAUAAUUCUCUGUAAUCAUUUAUUGGUGUCGUUUUACACCCAUCAAAAUUUGAACUAGCGUUGCAUUGACUGACUGUGCACAGUGAAGAUUGGGUUGGGCAUUUCUGGAGGUUACACUAUUAGAGCGUUUUGAAUCUCCGACCAAUCAGUGCUGCAGAAAAAAUGCUGAGGCCGGGUUUAUUUUAUUCGUAAGACUCAAACAAAUAUAAUAAUAUAGGGUUUUAUUACUGAAACAACCUCAGAGUGCAAAAUUUGAUGUAAAAUAAAAAAGAAAUGUAAUUGUCCCUUGAGAAAUAUUACUUAAUCCAAACAAAUGUCACCUCAAUAUUUGUCUUAAAUUUUGAAUUUUUUAAUAAAAAGUCUAACUGAUUUUUUCUUUUAAAUAGUUAUCUUGAACACUACACUGAUAUUUGCGUGACUGAAUUUAUCCGUCAUGGUCUCUGAACAAAAACAGUUUAGAACUCACUAUUUAAAUGUUGCGUGUAUUUAUACGAAAUCCUAAUACAAAUGCGAAUGAUAUUAUUGUUAUAAUAUCACGGUCACGUAUAUUAGAAUCCUGAGCCUUUAAACUGUCAUAUGACAUAUUGUAAGUCUAUAUUAAUUAAGAUUUUGAAAGUAAAAUCAUUCAGUAAAUGUAAACUUACUAACCUCGGGACCGUCGAUGGUCUCGAGCAAGUUAAUGGAUUAAAUGGCACUACUGAUGCUAGAUGGAAAAACCUGAUCAAACUGAAUGAUCAUACUGGAGACCUCACCGUCAGAAACAUCCAAACUGAACACUCUGGAGACUAUGAUCUGGAGAUCAACAACAGCAGCAUGAUCUUACACAAGAAAUUCCAUAUUGCAGUUAGUGAGCUCCCCCCGCGUUCACAUUGGGAGACAACUGGUCCAGUGUUGGCAGGCAUUGUUGUUAUCUUAAUCCUGAUCGGAACUGGAAUCUGUAUUGGGCUCAAGAUGGGUUGGUUUGAAAUAUGUUGGCCAUGUAAGAAGAGUGGUGAAACAACUGAAGUGCUAUAUGAGGCAGCACCUAAACAAUGACCAACAGCAGUAGGUCAUAGUCAGUUCACAUUAAUAGAGUUUGAGAAUCAACCAUAUAGCACUGU